UUUGAACGCUGGCGGCAUGCUUUACACAUGCAAGUCGAACGGCAGCGCGGAGAAGCUUGCUUCUCUGUCGGCGAGUGGCGAACGGGUGAGUAUAGCAUCGGAACGUGCCAAGUAGUGGGGGAUAACCAAACGAAAGUUUGGCUAAUACCGCGUAAGCUCUAAGGAGGAAAGUAGGGGACCUAAAUAAGGCCUUACGCUAUUUGAUCGGCCGAUGUCGGAUUAGCUAGUUGGUGGGGUAAUGGCUCACCAAGGCAAUGAUCCGUAGCGGGUCUGAGAGGACGAUCCGCCACACUGGGACUGAGACACGGCCCAGACUCCUACGGGAGGCAGCAGUGGGGAAUUUUGGACAAUGGGGGAAACCCUGAUCCAGCCAUGCCGCGUGUAUGAAGAAGGCCUUAGGGUUGUAAAGUACUUUUGUUAGGGAAGAAAAGCUAGUUUUUAAUAAAAAUUAGUGAUGACGGUACCUAAAGAAUAAGCACCGGCUAACUACGUG
rnacentral:rRNA from 1 species